AGCGCCCGCCUAGCCGCCUAGCCGCCCGCCUAGGCCGAUUUUUCGAAAACAGAGAUUGACUGAAAGUCUGAAACCCGAAAUUGAAAAAGUUUAGCUGCAAAUUUGAGCUUGAGAUUGAGAUUGGGAAGCCGAAGCAAGCACAAGUCAGUGGAAGGAAAUGAUGAAGCUAUCCUAUCAUGGAGUUUCUACGGUCUUGCCAAUAACAAGGAGCAGUUGUUCAUGCACAUCAUCUCACGUUCCUUGAGGUUCAUACUUGUGUUAUACCAGGAUUGUUCUGUACUUGGCAAUUUCACCCCAGAGUACUUCUUAAAGAUGUCUCCACUGCAAUUCAGUUGGCUCUUUCUCACACAGCUAUAU